rnacentral:rRNA from 1 species
GAUGAACGCUGGCGGCGUGCCUAAUACAUGCAAGUCGAGCGAACAGACGAGGAGCUUGCUCCUCUGACGUUAGCGGCGGACGGGUGAGUAACACGUGGAUAACCUACCUAUAAGACUGGGAUAACUUCGGGAAACCGGAACUAAUACCGGAUAAUAUAUUGAACCGCAUGGUUCAAUAGUGAAAGACGGUUUUGCUGUCACUUAUAGAUGGAUCCGCGCCGCAUUAGCUAGUUGGUAAGGUAACGGCUUACCAAGGCAACGAUGCGUAGCCGACCUGAGAGGGUGAUCGGCCACACUGGAACUGAGACACGGUCCAGACUCCUACGGGAGGCAGCAGUAGGGAAUCUUCCGCAAUGGGCGACAGCCUGACGGAGCAACGCCGCGUGAGUGAUGAAGGUCUUCGGAUCGUAAAACUCUGUUAUUAGGGAAGAACAAAUGUGUAAGUAACUAUGCACGUCUUGACGGUACCUAAUCAGAAAGCCACGGCUAACUACGUG